rnacentral:lncRNA from 1 species
UCUCUCUCUCUCUCUCCCCUCUCAUGCAACAUUGCUUAGACAAUAUAAUUCCCAUGCACUUUAAACAGAGCUUCCAGCCCCAGAAAUGACAAUACUGAAUGAAAGUAACAAUUUCUACAGAAGGAAGCAGCGACAAUAGAAAGCCAAGUUCUGAGCAGGAGUGAACAUUCCUGUGAGCUAUGGGCUCAGUGAGUUUGCUGAGUAGGUGGAGCUCCCCACUGGUCGUGAGCGCAUCCAUGAGGGAGGGGACCCUGGCAGUGGAGGAGGCUGUGAAGAUGUGGAGCUGAGAGGAACUCUGCUGCCAACUCCCAAAGUUCUUAAAAAUACCUCUGAAACAAAAGGC